AAAGUGGUGAAAAAACGCAGCUGAGAUGCUGUCAAGGAUAUAGACUGGAUUCGAAUUCACAAGAUUGCAUUGAUUGUCCUAAUGGGACAUAUGGUGUAAACUGCAAGGAUGAGUGUUCAGACAAUUAUUACGGCCUUAGAUGUAAUUACGUAUGUCGUUGCUUUGCAAAUGAAACUUGUAAUAAAGCUAUCGGUUGCGUGGGACAA